rnacentral:rRNA from 1 species
GACGAACGCUGGCGGCGUGCUUAACACAUGCAAGUCGAACGGAAAGGCCCUGCUUUUGUGGGGUGCUCGAGUGGCGAAUGGGUGAGUAACACGUGAGUAACCUGCCCUUGACUUUGGGAUAACUUCAGGAAACUGGGGCUAAUACCGGAUAGGAGCUCCUGCUGCAUGGUGGGGGUUGGAAAGUUUCGGCGGUUGGGGAUGGACUCGCGGCUUAUCAGCUUGUUGGUGGGGUAGUGGCUUACCAAGGCUUUGACGGGUAGCCGGCCUGAGAGGGUGACCGGCCACAUUGGGACUGAGAUACGGCCCAGACUCCUACGGGAGGCAGGAGUGGGGAAUAUUGCACAAUGGGCGGAAGCCUGAUGCAGCAACGCCGCGUGCGGGAUGACGGCCUUCGGGUUGUAAACCGCUUUCGCCUGUGACGAAGCGUGAGUGACGGUAAUGGGUAAAGAAGCACCGGCUAACUACGUG